UACGUAGGGACCAAGCGUUGUUCGGAUUUACUGGGCGUAAAGGGCGCGUAGGCGGCGUGUUAAGUCACUUGUGAAAUCUCUAAGCUUAACUUAGAACGGUCAAGUGAUACUGAUGUGCUAGAGUGCAGAAGGGGGCAACCGGAAGUUCUUGGUGUAGCGGUGAAAUGCGUAGAUAUCAAGAGGAACACCUGAGGUGAAGACGGGUUGCUGGGCUGGCACUGACGCUGAGGCGCGAAAGCUAGGGUAGCAAACGGG
rnacentral:rRNA from 1 species